GACACUUUGGCCGAGUGGUUGAGGCGAUGCCCUGCUAAGGCAUUGAAGUUUCUCUGCGUGUGUUCGAAUCGCACAGGUGUCG